CCUACGGGAGGCAGCAGUGGGGAAUAUUGCACAAUGGGCGGAAGCCUGAUGCAGCGACGCCGCGUGAGGGAUGACGGCCUUCGGGUUGUAAACCUCUUUCAGUAGGGAAGAAGCGAAAGUGACGGUACCUGCAGAAGAAGCGCCGGCUAACUACGUGCCAGCAGCCGCGGUAAUACGUAGGGCGCAAGCGUUAUCCGGAAUUAUUGGGCGUAAAGAGCUCGUAGGCGGUUUGUCGCGUCUGCCGUGAAAGUCCGGGGCUCAACUCCGGAUCUGCGGUGGGUACGGGCAGACUAGAGUGAUGUAGGGGAGACUGGAAUUCCUGGUGUAGCGGUGAAAUGCGCAGAUAUCAGGAGGAACACCGAUGGCGAAGGCAGGUCUCUGGGCAUUAACUGACGCUGAGGAGCGAAAGCAUGGGGAGCGAACAGGAUUAGAUACCCUGGUAGUCCAUGCCGUAAACGUUGGGCACUAGGUGUGGGGGACAUUCCACGUUUUCCGCGCCGUAGCUAACGCAUUAAGUGCCCCGCCUGGGGAGACGCCGCGAGACAACACAANAGAUAGACGCGNGAGACGNGCGACGACGACGACGAGGGAGAG
rnacentral:rRNA from 1 species